AGUGAACGCUGGCGGUAGGCCUAACACAUGCAAGUCGAACGGCAGCACAGCAGAGCUUGCUCUGUGGGUGGCGAGUGGCGGACGGGUGAGGAAUACAUCGGAAUCUACUCUUUCGUGGGGGAUAACGUAGGGAAACUUACGCUAAUACCGCAUACGACCUACGGGUGAAAGCGGAGGACCUUCGGGCUUCGCGCGAUUGAAUGAGCCGAUGUCGGAUUAGCUAGUUGGCGGGGUAAAGGCCCACCAAGGCGACGAUCCGUAGCUGGUCUGAGAGGAUGAUCAGCCACACUGGAACUGAGACACGGUCCAGACUCCUACGGGAGGCAGCAGUGGGGAAUAUUGGACAAUGGGCGCAAGCCUGAUCCAGCCAUACCGCGUGGGUGAAGAAGGCCUUCGGGUUGUAAAGCCCUUUUGUUGGGAAAGAAAAGCAGUCGGUUAAUACCCGAUUGUUCUGACGGUACCCAAAGAAUAAGCACCGGCUAACUUCGUGCCAGCAGCCGCGGUAAUACGAAGGGUGCAAGCGUUACUCGGAAUUACUGGGCGUAAAGCGUGCGUAGGUGGUUGUUUAAGUCUGUUGUGAAAGCCCUGGGCUCAACCUGGGAAUUGCAGUGGAUACUGGGCAACUAGAGUGUGGUAGAGGGUAGUGGAAUUCCCGGUGUAGCAGUGAAAUGCGUAGAGAUCGGGAGGAAC
rnacentral:rRNA from 1 species